GAUGAACGCUGGCGGCGUGCUUAACACAUGCAAGUCGAACGGGAAAUAUUUCAUUGAGACUUCGGUGGAUUUGAUUUAUUUCUAGUGGCGGACGGGUGAGUAACGCGUGGGUAACCUGCCUUAUACAGGGGGAUAACAGUCAGAAAUGGCUGCUAAUACCGCAUAAGCGCACAGAGCUGCAUGGCUCAGUGUGAAAAACUCCGGUGGUAUAAGAUGGACCCGCGUUGGAUUAGCUAGUUGGUGGGGUAACGGCCCACCAAGGCGACGAUCCAUAGCCGGCCUGAGAGGGUGAACGGCCACAUUGGGACUGAGACACGGCCCAGACUCCUACGGGAGGCAGCAGUGGGGAAUAUUGCCCAAUGGGGGAAACCCUGAUGCAGCGACGCCGCGUGAAGGAAGAAGUAUCUCGGUAUGUAAACUUCUAUCAGCAGGGAAGAUAGUGACGGUACCUGACUAAGAAGCCCCGGCUAACUACGUG
rnacentral:rRNA from 1 species